UACGUAGGGUGCGAGCGUUGUCCGGAAUUAUUGGGCGUAAAGAGCGCGUAGGCGGUCCGGUAAGUCGGUUGUGAAAACUGGGGGCUCAACCCUCAGAGGCCGACCGAUACUGCUGGGCUAGAGUCCGGAAGAGGCGAGUGGAAUUCCUGGUGUAGCGGUGAAAUGCGCAGAUAUCAGGAGGAACACCGGUGGCGAAGGCGGGUCUCUGGGCCGAUACUGACGCUGAGGAGCGAAAGCGUGGGGAGCAAACAGG
rnacentral:rRNA from 1 species